rnacentral:lncRNA from 1 species
GAUUAUAAGUAAUGCGUAAAUACAUCCACCAGAGGGAGCCAGACCGGUGUAGGCCUUUGUUGAAGAGUUUUACGCUGUUGUAUCCCAAAAAUAAUUGAGGUUAGUCAGAGACGCCUUCAGUCAGAUGAUGACAUAACACCUGAAAUUUCCAGAAAGACAAGGAAAACAUCAGUGUAAUCUCAAGGGAGGAAACGUCACAGUAAUCACAUACAGAUUUAAAAAGGCACACGUACUCUGGCUGAGGUAAGACAGAAAAGCUAAUGAAGUAAGAGUGCUGCUGAUGCUCAGUCGGAUCUGAUUCACUGAUGCUAAAUGGCUGGUAUUGAUCCAUUACUGGCAGUGAUGAUCACCAAGUGGAUGCAGAUGGUGGAGAGAGCAGCUCUCAGGUCUUUUCUCUAAUGUUCAUCCUGCUGCUUUGGCUGAGGAGGAUUCUAGCAUUGCAUUACUGCCCGAUUCAUGGAGAUGAAAUCUGCUGUUUGUCCUGAGGAAUGGGAUUGUGAACAUGGAUCUGACAUUAACAGAAAAACCUGAUGUGUUUAAAGAGAUGGGAAGGAAUUGGAUGGGCACGUGGCUUCAUUUGCCAUCACAAAUAUUUCAAGACAACCCACAUGACUACAGUAAGAUUCCUGAUGCAG